AUCAACACCUUUAUUAAUUAGUCCUUUGUUGUCGAUAGCUAUAAAAUGCAAUCAGCUGAUUAUUGAUUUUCUGUCCAAAUCUUAAUGAGGUCAAGGUGAAUUCCGAGUAUUGUGUGAUCGGUUAAAGUCCGAGAAACUUGAAAAAAAGUAAAUAAACAAGAUGGAGGAAAAUAAAUCGUUAUAUAUAUUUCUUUCGCCAAAUUCUUUCGCAAAUGACGAAUUUUUAUCGCCACAAUUAUUAUUUUUUCGCAAAUUGCGAAAAUGGCGACCGCCAGCGGAAACCCUGCU
rnacentral:lncRNA from 1 species